rnacentral:tRNA from 1 species
AGGGCAUUCGCCAAGUGGAGAAGGCACAGGAUUUUGAUUCCUGCAUUACAUCAGUUCGAAUCUGAUAUGCCCUG